UACAGAGGGGGCUAGCGUUGUUCGGAAUUACUGGGCGUAAAGGGCGCGUAGGUGGCCUGUUAAGUCGAACGUGAAAUCCCCGGGCUCAACCCGGGAACUGCGUCCGAUACUGGAAGGCUUGAAUCCGGGAGAGGGAUGUGGAAUUCCAGGUGUAGCGGUGAAAUGCGUAGAUAUCUGGAGGAACACCGGUGGCGAAGGCGACAUCCUGGACCGGUAUUGACGCUGAGGCGCGAAAGCCAGGGGAGCAAACGGG
rnacentral:rRNA from 1 species